rnacentral:rRNA from 1 species
GAUAAACGCUGGCGGCGUGCCUAAUACAUGCAAGUCGAGCGAACGGACGAGAAGCUUGCUUCUCUGAUGUUAGCGGCGGACGGGUGAGUAACACGUGGAUAACCUACCUAUAAGACUGGGAUAACUUCGGGAAACCGGAGCUAAUACCGGAUAGUAUUUUGAACCGCAUGGUUCAAAAGUGAAAGACGGUCUUGCUGUCACUUAUAGAUGGAUCCGCGCUGCAUUAGCUAGUUGGUAAGGUAACGGCUUACCAAGGCAACGAUGCAUAGCCGACCUGAGAGGGUGAUCGGCCACACUGGAACUGAGACACGGUCCAGACUCCUACGGGAGGCAGCAGUAGGGAAUCUUCCGCAAUGGGCGAAAGCCUGACGGAGCAACGCCGCGUGAGUGAUGAAGGUCUUCGGAUCGUAAAACUCUGUUAUUAGGGAAGAACAUAUGUGUAAGUAACUGUGCACAUCUUGACGGUACCUAAUCAGAAAGCCACGGCUAACUACGUGCCAGCAGCCGCGGUAAUACGUAGGUGGCAAGCGUUAUCCGGAAUUAUUGGGCGUAAAGCGCGCGUAGGCGGUUUUUUAAGUCUGAUGUGAAAGCCCACGGCUCAACCGUGGAGGGUCAUUGGAAACUGGAAAACUUGAGUGCAGAAGAGGAAAGUGGAAUUCCAUGUGUAGCGGUGAAAUGCGCAGAGAUAUGGAGGAACACCUGUGGCGAAGGCGACUUUCUGGUCUGUAACUGACGCUGAUGUGCGAAAGCGUGGGGAUCAAACAGGAUUAGAUACCCUGGUAGUCCACGCCGUAAACGAUGAGUGCUAAGUGUUAGGGGGUUUCCGCCCCUUAGUGCUGCAGCUAACGCAUUAAGCACUCCGCCUGGGGAGUACGACCGCAAGGUUGAAACUCAAAGGAAUUGACGGGGACCCGCACAAGCGGUGGAGCAUGUGGUUUAAUUCGAAGCAACGCGAAGAACCUUACCAAAUCUUGACAUCCUUUGACAACUCUAGAGAUAGAGCCUUCCCCUUCGGGGGACAAAGUGACAGGUGAUGCAUGGUUGUCGUCAGCUCGUGUCGUGAGAUGUUGGGUUAAGUCCCGCAACGAGCGCAACCCUUAAGCUUAGUUGCCAUCAUUAAGUUGGGCACUCUAAGUUGACUGCCGGUGACAAACCGGAGGAAGGUGGGGAUGACGUCAAAUCAUCAUGCCCCUUAUGAUUUGGGCUACACACGUGCUACAAUGGACAAUACAAAGGGCAGCGAAACCGCGAGGUCAAGCAAAUCCCAUAAAGUUGUUCUCAGUUCGGAUUGUAGUCUGCAACUCGACUACAUGAAGCUGGAAUCGCUAGUAAUCGUAGAUCAGCAUGCUACGGUGAAUACGUUCCCGGGUCU